rnacentral:rRNA from 1 species
UACGUAGGGGGCAAGCGUUGUCCGGAAUUAUUGGGCGUAAAGCGCGCGCAGGCGGUCAUGUAAGUCUGGUGUUUAAGCCCGGGGCUCAACCCCGGUUCGCAUCGGAAACUGUGUGACUUGAGUGCAGAAGAGGAAAGUGGAAUUCCACGUGUAGCGGUGAAAUGCGUAGAGAUGUGGAGGAACACCAGUGGCGAAGGCGACUUUCUGGACUGUAACUGACGCUGAGGCGCGAAAGCGUGGGGAUCAAACA